GACACUUCUUUUUUCAGGAAUCGUGCGAAAUUGCACGCCUAUUUUCAUUAAGAGAAGGACGGAAGAACCGCAACCACAAUUGUAACAAUACAGUACAACACCACUCCACCACAACACAACAAGAACACCCUAAAAAAAAUUCCUACUCUCUUAACAGGCCUACCUCCUUCCACCUACUUACCUCAAAACGAAUAGCAUCAAGCAAAAUAUGAACCGGGCU
rnacentral:lncRNA from 1 species